CCUACGGGUGGCUGCAGUGGGGAAUAUUGGGCAAUGGGCGAAAGCCUGACCCAGCGACGCCGCGUGGGCGAUGAAGGCCUUCGGGUUGUAAAGCCCUGUCAUGCGGAAAGAACGACCCUGUGACGCAUACUCACAGGGAGUGACGGUACCGCAGGAGGAAGCACCGGCUAACUCCGUGCCAGCAGCCGCGGUAAUACGGAGGGUGCAAGCGUUGUUCGGAAUUAUUGGGCGUAAAGGGCGCGUAGGCGGCAGUGUAAGUCAGAUGUGAAAUACUCCGGCUCAACCAGAGAACAGCAUCUGAAACUGCACAGCUAGAGUACAGAAGAGGGAAACGGAAUUCCCGGUGUAGAGGUGAAAUUCGUAGAUAUCGGGAGGAACACCAGUGGCGAAGGCGGUUUCCUGGUCUGAUACUGACGCUGAGGCGCGAAAGCGUGGGGAGCAAACAGGAUUAGAUACCCCAGUAGUCA
rnacentral:rRNA from 1 species